rnacentral:tRNA from 1 species
CUCUCCGUAGCUCAGAUGGUCAGAGCAGGGCACUCUUAAUGCUCGGGUCGCAGGUUCGAAUCCUGCCGGGGAGA